rfam:Tupaia chinensis contig235664, whole genome shotgun sequence.
CUGUGUGCCAUGCCCUACUCAGAAAGGUGCCUAUCACUUAGGUCACUUGUUACCGGUCCCUGUCUGAGUAGAGGAAGGCUCACCAA